UUUAUUUCUUCUUUUUCUUUUCUUUUUUUCUCUCUGCUGGGCCGGCCAGUUGGGCCUGCUUCUGCUGGGCUGGUGCGUGUGGGCCUAGCCUGCUGGUGCUGGCCUGCUGGGCUACACUGGGCCUGGGCUGGUGCGCAAAUGGGCCGGCUGUUGGCCUGCUACCUUUUUUUUUGCUUUCUUCUUCUUCUUUUUUCCUUUUGGGCUGCUCUUCGGGCCUGUUGAGCUGGGCUGCUGCUGGGUCGGGUUGGGUCACCUGAUCGGGUCGGGUUGGACCUGGAUCGGGUCGGGUCGGCCUGAUUUUUUUAAAAAAAAUUCUUUUUCUUUUUCUUUUUCUUUUUCUUUUUCUUUUUCUUUUUUCUUCUUUUUUCUUUCCCUAUUUUUUUUCUUGUUCCUUCUUCCUUCUUCUUCUUUUUUCUUCUCCUUCGACAGUAGCCCCUUGUGUUGCCGAUGCCGCCUUGCUGCCCGGCGGUGUAAGGCAACGGUGGUGCUCCUCCUUCUCCCCUUUCUUCUCUUUUUUCCUCAGUUUUUUUUCUCUUGCUGUUUUUUAUUCUUUUCUUUGUUGCUUGGCUUGUUUGGGUUGUAGGUAAUGGUGGUAGAGGUGUCACGGUGGCAGUGCGGCGGCGAUGGUUGCGGGAGGAGGUUUUGGGCGGUAGGGGAGCAUCAUUGGCCUAGGGAGGCUGCUGGAGUAGCUAGAGGUGGGUGGAGCACGCUUGGCUGCCGACUGGCAGAUUUGACAUGUCCAGGAGGACCAAAUUGUAAAGGUGUAAAGUUUUCGGGGUAAAAAUGUAAUUUUAGAAAAAUAUGGGGCUAAAAUGUAAUUUUUAGAAAUUUUAGGGGUCUGAAUGUAAUUUAUAUUUUUUGUA